CUGACCUUGAAACUGCGGUUUCGCACAUCAAGCGCCGGUUUUUACUUCGUGCGUGUUUUACUAUCGUGUCUAUGGAAGACUCGAAAAGAUCAGAGAAGAAGGAACCCCAUCACAAGCCACCCCAGGCACUGCCACUCUCUCCGCUCGGAUCUGCACUUUAUCUAUGUCCCAAUCUUUAAAGUAUAUUUUGUAUUCUCACUGGGUUUAAAGGAAGUAUCUCGACUCGCCUUCAAAACAGGAGGGGGAAAAAACAAGCCUAACUCUGAAGGUAACUUUCAGAACCAGGUGACUUCUUCCUCCCCGCCAAACGCGCAGCCUACUUCGGUCGUGUCCUUAGGAAGGGUUCAGCCUGGCACGGAGUUGGAGGGGCGAGCCAAGAACAGAGAAGCCCAAAGACGGGAGACAGAGGUCUUCUGAUUCCAAGAAAGUAUUCUUUCUCACACACUCGCUAAAUUCUCUUUUUAUCAGAGAGUCGACCUCAAGCUCAAAGCCCUAGAAAAUAUUACAAAGCUGUUGCCAAGUUUCAGUCCCCACAAAAUGUGGAUUCUUCCCAGGAUAUGUCAGUAUCAAAGGAGGCAAGACAAACAACAAUAUGAUUAGAGAAGACUUCCCAGAGUGGGUAGGAUGGGACCUCUGCUUUAAUCGAUGAAUAGAAUUCAAAAAUUGCUAAGUGAAUUCACAACUCAGGAAGAGUUCACAGAGCACCUCGUCUGCAAAGCCAUGCUGUAUUUCAGACAAGCCAAAUGACUGUCCUCUAAAGUGUCAUCUCCAAUUGAUUGGUCUGGGUUCAGCGGAGAAGAGUGCCACGAUCAACUGGUGAUGCCUGCCACAGGUCAGAGAUUGGAGAAAGGGACUCUGUGUGCCACGUGCUUGCCUUACCUACUCAAAGCUCUCAGGAACCUGUUUUUCAACAUCAUAAGGAAAAUGCUUUGUCCCAAUUCAAAUUUUACAUAUCUUCACAUGAAAAUAACUUGUCCUUAAGUUGUGCCAAUGCUGAGGUGUUCUAGUAGCCAGAAUGGGAAAAGAAUAUAAGACGACAUAUUUGUUUUCAGGUGAGGGUUCUCUCACUUUCUCCCUAAAUCCCACCGCCCUUCUGCUCCUCUGCUUCUCAGACAACAGUAUGUGUGUGGUUGGAGGUGAGCAUGUAGAGGUUUCCGGGAUAAUGUCAAUGCAGGCGUAGAGGCCUGUGGGGGAGCCUUUAAAGGGAGGAAGAGAGGGAAUCCAUUUGGCAGGAUGCCAGGUGAAGAAGGGCUCAAUCUAAGAGCCUCUCUAUGUAUACAUUUUCUCCUCUCGUUCCUCUUUUGGCUGCACUUCCUUUAUUUUCUCAUUUCUAGAAAUAAUAGGAUAUGUGGAAGGAGGAAAAUGAAGAAGCAGAAGAGCAUCUCUGGCUUUGAAACUCUCCAGGGACAUGGGCUACAGAAAGGCCAAGUGGGCCCUUUCUAUCUGCUGGGCCCUAGGCCACCAUGCCUGUGGGUUUUCUGUGCUUCGUGUACAUUCUGGCUGUCAGCCAUUAUCAUAGUCAUAGACACAUAAUGACAAAAUAAAAGCCAACAUAAAUUAAGACCUUA